UAUAAGUGUAAAUUAUAUAUAUAAGUAGUAUUAGUUAUGUUCUUGAAAUUUAAAAAUUUUGGCGGUAUUUUAGUCUAUUCAGAGGAACCUGUUCUGUGAUUGAUAGUCCACGAUAAAUUUUACUUAAUUUAGAAGUUUGUAUAUCGUCGUUAUUAAGUAUUUUAUAAGAAUUUAAAUAUUUAAUAUUUUUUAUUAAAAAAUAUUUCAGAUCAAGGUGCAGUUUAUAGUUAAGUAGAAAUGGGUUACAAUAAAUUUAUUUAUAAUGGAUUAAAAUAUGAAAAUUUUAUUGAAGGAGGAUUUGGUAGUAAUAAAAUUUAUAUAGAUUUUAUGAUUUUAGCUCUAAAAUGUGU
rnacentral:rRNA from 1 species